AAACAGCAUUCUCUUGGUAAUCUGGCAGUUGGACCCAGAGUUAGCUACAGGCUUUACACUUGUUGGUAUGCUGCUGAAAUGUUAUUGUGCAGAGAUGUAGGAAUGUGGUGUGGACAGCUGGGGUUUUUGUUUGAUUAAUAUGGAAAGCUCGAGGUGACGGACUUCACGAGAUGUGAACCACAACUAGCUAGCGUCAUGGCAAUGACGAAGGACUGGAUGGUGUAGGAAUCUUGAAGUAACCAUAGAAGAUCCUGUUAUCGUUGCCGAUAUGAAAUUUCCUUUCGAUUCGCAAGCCACCUACGUCGAAUGUGACUUGUUUAGUUGACAACUGUUCGGACUUUGAAACUGAUUUAAUUCAAAUUUGUCAGUGAUUUGAUCAGUCUUUUUUUUUUCUUUUUUUUUUUUAUAUAAGUAGAAUCGCGAUUCAUUGAUUUAGUGUAAACUGAAGACCUUUUAGAAAUUAAAUAUAUAUUAGUU